GGUUGUGGCUCAGCGGUAGACUGCCUGCCUAGCAUGUGCGAGGCCCUGCGUUCGAUCCUCAGCACCA
rnacentral:tRNA from 1 species